UACAGAGGGUGCAAGCGUUGUUCGGAAUUAUUGGGCGUAAAGGGCGCGUAGGCGGUUCGGCAAGUCUCUAGUGAAAUCUCAGGGCUCAACUCUGAGUCUGCUGGGGAAACUGCCGGGCUUGAGUGUGGGAGAGGAGAGUGGAAUUCCCGGUGUAGCGGUGAAAUGCGUAGAUAUCGAGAGGAACACCUGCGGCGAAGGCGACUUCCUGGCCUGUUCUUGACGCUGAGGCGCGAAAGCUAGGGUAGCAAACGGG
rnacentral:rRNA from 1 species